rnacentral:rRNA from 1 species
AUGAGCCCAUCCAGCCAGCUUCUCCUGCUGCUCUUCUUGGCAUGCAUCUUGCUCCUUCCUAUCCAGGCCCCCGCUGCUGACAAGCUCCAGAAAGGCCAGAACCUCACCGACUCCGACGGUGACGCACUCGUCUCGGCCAGCGGCUCCUUCACCCUGGGGUUCUUCUCGCCCGGGGUGUCCACUAAAAGGUACCUCGGCAUUUGGUUCUCGGUGUCCAAUGAGACUGUGUACUGGGUGGCCAACCGCGACCAGCCUCUGGUCGACAAGUCCGGCAUGCUGGUGUUCAAUGACGCGGCCACCCUUGUCCUGCUGGACAGUGCUCGCCGCACAGUCUGGUCUUCAGACUUCACCGGCGGCACUUCCGCCUCGGGGGCUCAGCUUCUCGAUACUGGCAACCUGGUCGUGUGCAACGACAGCAGUGUCGCCUACCUGUGGCAGUCCUUCGACUACCCUCAGACACCUUGUUGCCUGGCAUGA